rnacentral:rRNA from 1 species
UACGGAGGGUGCGAGCGUUGUCCGGAAUCACUGGGCGUAAAGAGCGCGCAGGCGGUCGUUCAAGUCGAGUGUGAAAGCCCCCGGCUCAACUGGGGAGGGUCACUCGAUACUGAUCGACUCGAAGGCAGAAGAGGGAAGCGGAAUUCCCGGUGUAGUGGUGAAAUGCGUAGAUAUCUGGAGGAACACCGGUGGCGAAGGCGGCAUUCUGGACCGAUAUUGACGCUGAGGAGCGAAAGCCAGGGGAGCAAACGGG